GAUGAACGCUGGCGGCGUGCCUAAUACAUGCAAGUCGAACGAGUUCUCGUUGAUGAUCGGUGCUUGCACCGAGAUUCAACAUGGAACGAGUGGCGGACGGGUGAGUAACACGUGGGUAACCUGCCCUUAAGUGGGGGAUAACAUUUGGAAACAGAUGCUAAUACCGCAUAGAUCCAAGAACCGCAUGGUUCUUGGCUGAAAGAUGGCGUAAGCUAUCGCUUUUGGAUGGACCCGCGGCGUAUUAGCUAGUUGGUGAGGUAACGGCUCACCAAGGCGAUGAUACGUAGCCGAACUGAGAGGUUGAUCGGCCACAUUGGGACUGAGACACGGCCCAAACUCCUACGGGAGGCAGCAGUAGGGAAUCUUCCACAAUGGACGCAAGUCUGAUGGAGCAACGCCGCGUGAGUGAAGAAGGCUUUCGGGUCGUAAAACUCUGUUGUUGGAGAAGAAUGGUCGGCAGAGUAACUGUUGUCGGCGUGACGGUAUCCAACCAGAAAGCCACGGCUAACUACGUGCCAGCAGCCGCGGUAAUACGUAGGUGGCAAGCGUUAUCCGGAUUUAUUGGGCGUAAAGCGAGCGCAGGCGGCUUUUUAAGUCUGAUGUGAAAGCCCUCGGCUUAACCGAGGAAGCGCAUCGGAAACUGGGAAACUUGAGUGCAGAAGAGGACAGUGGAACUCCUGGUGUAGCGGUGAAAUGCGUAGAUUAUAUGGAAGAACACCAGUGGCGAAGGCGGCUGUCUGGUCUGUAACUGACGCUGAGGCUCGAAAGCAUGGGUAGCGAACAGGAUUAGAUACCCUGGUAGUCCAUGCCGUAAACGAUGAAUGCUAGGUGUUGGAGGGUUUCCGCCCUUCAGUGCCGCAGCUAACGCAUUAAGCAUUCCGCCUGGGGAGUACGACCGCAAGGUUGAAACUCAAAGGAAUUGACGGGGGCCCGCACAAGCGGUGGAGCAUGUGGUUUAAUUCGAAGCAACGCGAAGAACCUUACCAGGUCUUGACAUCUUUUGAUCACCUGAGAGAUCAGGUUUCCCCUUCGGGGGCAAAAUGACAGGUGGUGCAUGGUUGUCGUCAGCUCGUGUCGUGAGAUGUUGGGUUAAGUCCCGCAACGAGCGCAACCCUUAUGACUAGUUGCCAGCAUUUAGUUGGGCACUCUAGUAAGACUGCCGGUGACAAACCGGAGGAAGGUGGGGAUGACGUCAAAUCAUCAUGCCCCUUAUGACCUGGGCUACACACGUGCUACAAUGGAUGGUACAACGAGUUGCGAGACCGCGAGGUCAAGCUAAUCUCUUAAAGCCAUUCUCAGUUCGGACUGUAGGCUGCAACUCGCCUACACGAAGUCGGAAUCGCUAGUAAUCGCGGAUCAGCACGCCGCGGUGAAUACGUUCCCGGGCCUUGUACACACCGCCCGUCACACCAUGAGAGUUUGUAACACCCGAAGCCGGUGGCGUAACCCUUUUAGGGAGCGAGCCGUCUAAGGUGGGACAAAUGAUUAGGGUG
rnacentral:rRNA from 1 species